rnacentral:rRNA from 1 species
UACGUAGGGGGCAAGCGUUGUCCGGAAUCAUUGGGCGUAAAGCGCGUGUAGGCGGCCCGGUAAGUCCGCUGUGAAAGUCGGGGGCUCAACCCUCGAAUGCCGGUGGAUACUGUCGGGCUAGAGUGCGGGAAAGGCGAGUGGAAUUCCUGGUGUAGCGGUGAAAUGCGCAGAUAUCAGGAGGAACACCAAUUGCGAAGGCAGCUCGCUGGAACGUAACUGACGCUGAGACGCGAAAGCGUGGGGAGCAAACAGGG